rnacentral:misc_RNA from 1 species
AACAAGGCGUACCUGCGGACCUGCGGAAGGAUCAUUACCAGAGUGCCUUCAGGCUCUCCAACCCACUGUGAACAUACCUACGUUCCCCCGGCGGGCUCAGCGCGCGGCGGCUCCGGCCGCCCGCGUCCGCCGAGGGCAUCUCAAACCCGAAUUUGUUCGUGUCUUCUGAGGGGCGAAAGCCCGUAAAACAAAAUGAAUCAAAACUUUCAACAACGGAUCU